rnacentral:rRNA from 1 species
AUGUGGCCGUUUAACCUCGAUCCUGCAUCCUGUUUUGUUGAAAAGAGAUUAAAUGAGAACACGGUAUCACUUACAACAAAGGGAAGUCCACAACUAUGCCAACUUUGUGAGCAGUUUGCCGCAGAAACCCUCUUCUAUUUGAAGGAGAAUGAGACACGGAUCGAAAUUAUAGAUACUCUUCACCAAGCUUGUUUGAAAUUUCAUUCACUUAAGUUAGAGUGUACAAAGUUGGUUGAUUAUUAUGCAGCACUGUUCUUCGCACAAAUUGAUUCUCUAAGCCCUGAAGAAUUUUGCGUAUCAGCAAGUCUUUGUGAGGAAGUUACAUACAUUCGCCUCCCAGGACAUGAACAUGCUUGCACCCUUUGCCAUGAGGUUGUUGAUGAGAUUCGUACUGGUCUUGAAGACCCUGAGAUGGAGCUCAAGAUAAUCGAGAUACUUCUGAAAGGAUGCAACAACACAGAGAGUUUCGUACAGAAGUGCAAGAAGAUGAUAAUCCAAAACACACCGGUCAUACUAGAAGAUAUCAAGAAGUUUCUCAAGAAGAGAGAUUUCUGCGAUUCUAUCCGUGUCUGUGGAGGCAAGAUUGUUCGCCCUCGAGGAGGAGGCCUAAGAGGCCUGUCUACUGCAUGA